AUACGGAAGGUCCGGGCGUUAUCCGGAUUUAUUGGGUUUAAAGGGAGCGCAGGCUGAUUGCUAAGCGUGACGUGAAAUGUAGCCGCUCAACGGCUGAACUGCGUCGCGAACUGGCAGUCUUGAGUGAGUACGACGUCAGCGGAAUUCGUGGUGUAGCGGUGAAAUGCUUAGAUAUCACGAAGAACCCCGAUUGCGAAGGCAGCUGACGAGUCCUUUACUGACGCUAAAGCUCGAAGGUGCGGGUAUCGAACAGGAUUAGAUACCCUGGUAGUCCGCACGGUAAACGAUGGAUGCCCGCUGUUGGCGAUAUACAGUCAGCGGCCAAGCGAAAGCGUUAAGCAUCCCACCUGGGGAGUACGCCGGCAACGGUGAAACUCAAAUGAAUUGGCGGGG
rnacentral:rRNA from 1 species